GACGAACGCUGGCGGCGUGCUUAACACAUGCAAGUCGAACGGAAAGGCCCUGCUUUUGUGGGGUGCUCGAGUGGCGAACGGGUGAGUAACACGUGAGUAACCUGCCCUUGACUUUGGGAUAACUUCAGGAAACUGGGGCUAAUACCGUAUAGGAGCUCCUGCUGCAUUGUGGGGGUUGGAAAGUUUCGGCGGUUGGGGAUGGACUCGCGGCUUAUCAGCUUGUUGGUGGGGUAGUGGCUUACCAAGGCUUUGACGGGUAGCCGGCCUGAGAGGGUGACCGGCCACAUUGGGACUGAGAGACGGACCAGACUCCUACGGGAGGCAGCAGUGGGGAAUAUUGCACAAUGGGCGGAAGCCUGAUGAAGCAACGCCGCGUGCGGGAUGACGGCCUUCGGGUUGUAAACCGCUUUCGCCUGUGACGAAGCGUGAGUGACGGUAAUGGGUAAAGAAGCACCGGCUAACUACGUG
rnacentral:rRNA from 1 species